UGUUCAAUUAAAGUUCCAUUAUAAAAUAGUAUUGCAAAAUUACGUGUUCAUAUAUGCUCCAGCAUCCUGACUGAUUCAUGCAUAACAAAAUCUGGCAGCCAAGUGGCACUUAUAGUUCAGUACUUAGAUGCUGAAAUCAAAGGUUGGUGAAGUGAUGUCCUCUCCUGCCAUCACUCUGUCACCUGACAAGACAGUCUUAAAUGCUGCAGCUUUGAUGCUUAAGAUGAAGAUCCAUAGGGUACCAGUCAUAAAUGAAAAACAGCAAGUUGUAGGAAUGGUUACUCGGACUGACAUAUUCCAGGCACUAGAAACUCAGGUGGUAUAAGCUCUCUGCUUCAUAAGAAUGCUCAUCUCCUGUCUAAAUAUGAAAAUAGGUGUAAAUAUGAAAAUAAGUUAAAGAUGCACAUAAAAACUGUGCAGCCAUGACUUUGUGACUCCUAAUUGCAUAUUGGAUGAUAUAUUCUCUUCUUUUCUUUGUGAUGCAACUGUCUUUGUGGUGGACCGAUAAUCGUAUUUGAGCAAUACAAUUUGAUGCUUAGAAUGUGA